GAUGAACGCUGGCGGCGUGCCUAAUACAUGCUAGUCGAGCGAACAGACGAGGAGCUUGCUCCUCUGACGUUAGCGGCGGACGGGUGAGUAACACGUGGAUAACCUACCUAUAAGACUGGGAUAACUUCGGGAAUCCGGAGCUAAUACCGGAUGAUAUAUUGAACCGCAUGGUUCAAUAGUGAAAGACGGUUUUGCUGUCACUUAUAGAUGGAUCCGCGCCGCAUUAGCUAGUUGGUAAGGUAACGGCUUACCAAGGCAACGAUGCGUAGCCGACCUGAGAGGGUGAUCGGCCACACUAGAACUGAGACACGGUCCAGACUCCUACGGGAGGCAGCAGUAGGGAAUCUUCCGCAAUGGGCGAAAGCCUGACGGAGCAACGCCGCGUGAGUGAUGAAGGUCUUCGGAUCGUAAAACUCUGUUAUUAGGGAAGAACAAAUGUGUAAGUAACUAUGCACGUCUUGACGGUACCUAAUCAGAAAGCCACGGCUAACUACGUG
rnacentral:rRNA from 1 species